rnacentral:rRNA from 1 species
UGGGGAAUUUUGGACAAUGGGCGAAAGCCUGAUCCAGCAAUGCCGCGUGUGUGAAGAAGGCCUUCGGGUUGUAAAGCACUUUUGUCCGGAAAGAAAUCCUCUGGGUUAAUACCUCGGGGGGAUGACGGUACCGGAAGAAUAAGCACCGGCUAACUACGUGCCAGCAGCCGCGGUAAUACGUAGGGUGCAAGCGUUAAUCGGAAUUACUGGGCGUAAAGCGUGCGCAGGCGGUUUUGUAAGACGGAUGUGAAAUCCCCGGGCUUAACCUGGGAACUGCAUUCGUGACUGCAAGGGCUAGAGUAUGGCAGAGGGGGGUUAGAAUUCCACGUGUAGCAGUGAAAUGCGUAGAGAUGUGGAGGAAUACCGAUGGCGAAGGCAGCCCCCUGGGCCAAUACUGACGCUCAUGCACGAAAGCGUGGGGAGCAAACAGGAUUAGAUACCCUGGUAGUCCACGCCCUAAACGAUGUCAACUAGUUGUUGGGGAUUCAUUUCCUUAGUAACGUAGCUAACGCGUGAAGUUGACCGCCUGGGGAGUACGGUCGCAAGAUUAAAACUUAAAUGAAUUGACGGGGUCAUAGCUGUUUCCU